GGGGGGGUUGUUUUUCCUGUUUUAAUGGGGUUACUUCAUUUGUUGCUUUUUCUACCAUCAGAUAUAAUUUAAGAUACGAGAAUGCUAUAUGCAGAAUGAUUAAUCUUCUUGUUGGUUGGCUGGUUUUCUCUUUUAGUUUAGUUAUAAAUAGUCUUUUCAACAAAUGUUGGACACUGGAUUGUUCUUUCGGGUUGGAUUUUGUCAACGUAUUUUUCAUAUUAUAGGAUGUGUACUCUUCUGUCUAACUAAUUGACUAGUCAGAUUGGUGUAAUGUUGCCACGUGGUUCACCACAAGCUGUUUAGUAAUUACCUGUAUUUCUUUCCUUUUACCCCUCUUCCCCUUCUCUUGUUUAUGAGGGUGGUGGUUGGAGGUAUUUUUAGUAGGAAAUGACAUAUACAAAGUAGCUUCUCUAGUGAAACAACACCAGGUUUAGAGGCUGAUAUUUAUUUUAAUCCACAUGUAUGAAGAUGGCAACUGUUUUCUUAUUAAGUUCUGGGCUUUUGGUUUUUACAGUGUUUUGUUCUUUGGGCAUGUUGGUGUUUUGGUGGUGCUUUUAUGUGUUUCCUUAGCUUUCAGUCAAACACUUGGAUAAUUUGAUAUCAUUUACAGAGAGACUGCUCAUCCCUGUAUAUAUGUGUGCUUUAUUUUGUUUUAUAUGCUUUUUUAUCGACCUAAAACAUAGGUUUCAUAAUUAUGUUGCCCUUGAAUUGGCAUUUUUGAACCUUGUGUGCUUUCAUUCAUUGUAGGGAAAGUCAUAAUGGUUGAUCAAGUUCAAUAUCCAACUGUCAUGCAGAAGGUAGCUGGUCAGCUCCUUCAUUCCAGUCUUCCCCAAGAUUUCCAUGGCUAUGAUGGGGCUUACAAGAGGCCUGCUCUUUAUCAAAGGCGUGCCUAUGGCAACUACUCCAAUGCUGCAUUCCAAUAUUCCAUGGUG
rnacentral:misc_RNA from 1 species